AGCUUUGCGCAGUGGCAGUAUCAUAGCCAAUGAGGUCCAACCGAGGCGUGAUUAUUGCUAAUUGU
rfam:Xenopus tropicalis strain Nigerian Chr01_contig_2351, whole genome shotgun sequence.